GCCUCCCGCCGGCAGACCCCAGUCCCGCUCCCCGGGAGGUGGCGGUGUUGGCCACCGGCGGCUUCGGGGGCUCCUUCCCCCAGCCCCCGGCCAUCCCCGCCCGCCGGGAAGCCGCCCAGCGCUUACCUUCAUUGGGUUUCCGCUCCCCAUCCCCCAGGGCAGGCGCAGCCUUCGACAACUGCAAAGACAACAGAAAAUCAGUCACAACGCGGAACCGUGACGCGGUCUCGGCGCGGGGGGUCCCGGGCAGGGUCCCCGGUGGCCCCGGUCCCGCCGCCCCUCCGGGCAGGAGGCGGAGGGAGCCCCGGCGGGAGGGGGCGCCCCCGAGGCCCAGCCGCUCCCCCCGGCCAUCCCGGCGGGCACAGAGGGACCUUUUGUUCCCCUGUCCCCCGGGAAAGGCGAGAGGGGCUCGGGCGGGACGGCUCCGGGCCGGGCGACAGGGCUGGCAAGGCGGCGUGCCGGCCCGAGAGAAGGCCCCAAGGGAGAAGCGCGUCCCCGGGGAGCUGCUGUCAGGGGCCGCGGGCAAACACCGGGAGCAAAUGCGAGCCCGGCGGAGAGAAGUAACGGGGAGACCUGCUGCUGCCGACAUGAACGAUGGAUCCGGGCACCGCUUCUCCCCGUAAAGGUGAAACAAGAACACCACUCUUCCUGCUCUUCGUGAGGGCUUUAGCUCUGACGUAACUUUCCAGCCAAGUCAGGUUUCCCCCUGCUGUUCUGUUCUGAACCAAAAUGGAAAAAGCCAAGCUUUCUUCACUUCUCCGAGCUAGGCAUUCUGAACUCCACACGGCGGCACGAACCCGAGCUGCGACCCAAGGCAAAUAUCGCCGAGGCAGCCUUUUGCAAUGUCAGGAGACCCGAGGCUGAUGCAAGAAGGCAGCGCGCUGCCUCCCUGCCCCGCGCCCCGGCCCCGGCGGGACCCCACGGCCGCGCCGC